rfam:Xenopus tropicalis strain Nigerian scaffold_351_contig_12, whole genome shotgun sequence.
CCAAAGGCUCUUUUCAGAGCCCCCACUCACUCUCCCAGAGCUGUUA